GAUGAAGAACGUAGCGAAAUGCGAAAAGUAAUGUGAAUUGCAGAAUUCAGUGAAUCAUCGAAUCUUUGAACGCACAUUGCGCCCGCCAGUAUUCUGGCGGGCAUGCCUGUCUGAGCGUCAUUUCAACCCUCACGCCCCUAGGGCGUGGUGUUGGGGAUCGGCCAAGGCCCGCAAGGGACGGCCGGCCCCUAAAUCUAGUGGCGGACCCAUCGUGGCCUCCCCUGCGAAGUAGUAAUAUAUUCCGCAUCGGAUAGCGAUGAGCCCCUGCCGUUAAACCCCCAACUCUUUCAAGGUUGACCUCAGAUCAGGUAGGAAUACCCGCUGAACUUAAGCAUAUCAAUAGCGAGGA
rnacentral:misc_RNA from 1 species